rnacentral:rRNA from 1 species
CCUACGGGAGGCAGCAGUGAGGAAUAUUGGUCAAUGGGCGAGAGCCUGAACCAGCCAAGCCGCGUGAAGGAUGAAGGAUCUAUGGUUUGUAAACUUCUUCUAUAUGGGAAUAAAGUGCGGUACGUGCUCCUUUUUGUACGUACCAUAUGAAUAAGCAUCGGCUAACUCCGUGCCAGCAGCCGCGGUAAUACGGAGGUUGCGAGCGUUAUCCGGAUUUAUUGGGUUUAAAGGGUGCGUAGGUGGUUAAUUAAGUCAGCGGUGAAAGUUUGUGGCUCAACCAUAAAAUUGCCGUUGAAACUGGUAGACUUGAGUGUAUUUGAGGUAGGCGGAAUGCGUGGUGUAGCGGUGAAAUGCAUAGAUAUCACGCAGAACUCCGAUUGCGAAGGCAGCUUACUAGACUAUAACUGACACUGAAGCACGAAAGCGUGGGGAUCGAACAGGAUUAGAUACCCGAGUAGUC